GGAUGUCUGAGGAGAAAUAAAUGCGAUCUGUGCUCAGUGAGAGGCUCUGGCAGAGCUUCACACUAACGCCUUCUGUUAAUUUCAGGAUCCCCUCAAGAGAAAAAAGGCAUAUAAAAAGGAAGCUGAAAUUCCUCAAGGAUAACGUUCUACAUGCUAGCAGGGAGGCAUCCUUACCAUGGGAAUGUUCCAAAAAGAAAUCACAGAAAUGCAUUUCCACCAGGGAAAGAAAAAGGCAGCCACUCUACAAUAAUGCUGGAGCUCUGCUUGUUUUAAGCAUCAACUGUGAUGACAUGAUUAAAAAAUCAGCAUCGUUACAACCACAAGGACCUUUUCCGUGUGAGAGCACAUAAAACAUUAUUAGUGAACUUCUGUCUCCUGGCAUAUGUGUUGCACCCUCCAAAUGAGCUGGAAAGAAGGUAGAAAGUAGAGAUUUAUCAGGCAUCAAGUUCAGCCAUCCAAAUAUCAUAAUCCUCAUUUUUGUUGCUAGCUGUAUGCAAUUUUGAAAUGGUUUGUAAAUUUAAUUGUUGGUGUAUGGAGUGUGCAUAGGCCAUGCACAAGCAACAGCACUGCUAGGAUUAGCAGCUCUUACCUGCUUUGUUGGAAGCAGAGUCAACCCUGAGCUCUUUUAGCAAGGUGUCAGCCAGAUAGGGUGACACUCAGUGCUGUGAAAACUCAGAAAUGGCAGUACUUCUGGGUCAUCAGUCACUCCUGUUUAAAGCUGAAGACGAGUUAUCUGCUUAUAUUGCCUGUUGUUACGGCUUCCAAGGCUCAGGAGAUGAAAACAGAGAAUCUCCUUCCUUUUUACUGCACUUAUGUAUGAUGAUAAUUGGGUUUUUUUUUUUUUCAGGCUGAUGUAAAUCGGCAUUCAUUUUGGGAUCUUUGCUAUUGAUGGACAGUACUUAAGUUAGGCAUCACUAUAAAUCAAGAUGUCUUGUCCCAGUGUCCUCUUGUACUCUUUGUGUGUUACAACUUACCUGAAUGAUUGGAUGCUAUAUUAAACUGUGAUAUUACCCUACAGUCUACGUCUGACUUUCAGAGGAUCUUGGGUGGUACAACUACAUCACUUUAAUCCACAG
rnacentral:lncRNA from 1 species